CAGUAGCCGCGGUAACACCGAGGGUGCGAGCGUUAAUCGGAUUUACUGGGCGUAAAGCGUGCGUAGGCGGCUUCUUAAGUCGGAUGUGAAAUCCCUGAGCUUAACUUAGGAAUUGCAUUCGAUACUGGGAAGCUAGAGUAUGGGAGAGGAUGGUAGAAUUCCAGGUGUAGCGGUGAAAUGCGUAGAGAUCUGGAGGAAUACCGAUGGCGAAGGCAGCCAUCUGGCCUAAUACUGACGCUGAGGUACGAAAGCAUGGGGAGCAAACAGGAUUAGAUACCCCGGUAGUCCCUGUCUCUUAUAC
rnacentral:rRNA from 1 species